GGAGGGGUGGCAGAGUGGUCGAAUGCACCGGUCUUGAAAACCGGCAUAGGGCAACCUAUCGUGGGUUCGAAUCCCACCCUCUCCGCCA
rnacentral:tRNA from 1 species